rnacentral:misc_RNA from 1 species
GAUGAAGAACGGAGCGAAAUGCGAUAAGUAGUGUGAAUUGUAGAAUUCCGUGAAUCAUCUAAUCUUUGAACGCACAUUGCGCCUUCUGGUAUUCCGGAAGGCAUGCCUGUUCGAGAGUCAUUAACAACCGUUUCGAUCCCUUGCUUUCAGAAAUUACAAAGAGGAAAAGGGUUUGGUUAUGGUGGAGGAGGGAAAGGGAGCGUUUAGCCUGUAAAAAAAGAGGCUGUGUUCCGCCUCCCCCCCAAAAUUGUACAGGCGGUCGUGUGCGCCCACGCAUCGAGGUGUUGUAAAAGCUGCCACGCCACUUUUCACCUGUGCAGUGCGAGAUUGGCCAGCCGGUUUAAAAACCCCUCCAAACAAUCAAAGGUUGACCUCGGAUCAGGUAGGGAUACCCGCUGAACUUAAGCAUAUCAAUAAGCGGAGGA